rnacentral:sRNA from 1 species
ACGCAAUAGUGAUAGGAACGGCAUCCUUUUUUUAUUUCAAAAAAAGAUACAGUGGAUAGCACGGCUAUUG